rnacentral:rRNA from 1 species
GUCAUAUGCUUGUCUCAAAGAUUAAGCCAUGCAUGUCUCAGUACAAGCCAAAAAUAAGGUGAAACCGCGAAAGGCUCAUUAAAUCAGUUAUGGUUCCUUAGAUCGUACCCACAUUUACUUGGAUAACUGUGGUAAUUCUAGAGCUAAUACAUGCAAACAGAGCUCCGACCGGAGACGGGAGGAGUGCUUUUAUUAGAUCAAAACCAAUCGGUGGCGGGUUCGCGUUCGCGCGUUCACGUCCACCGUCAAUAAUGGUGACUCUGAAUAACUUUAUGCUGAUCGCACGGUCUCGCACCGGCGACGCAUCUUUCAAAUGUCUGCCUUAUCAACUGUCGAUGGUAGGUUCUGCGCCUACCAUGGUUGUAACGGGUAACGGGGAAUCAGGGUUCGAUUCCGGAGAGGGAGCCUGAGAAACGGCUACCACAUCCAAGGAAGGCAGCAGGCGCGCAAAUUACCCACUCCCGGCACGGGGAGGUAGUGACGAAAAAUAACGAUACGGGACUCAUCCGAGGCCCCGUAAUCGGAAUGAGUACACUUUAAAUCCUUUAACAAGGAUCAAUUGGAGGGCAAGUCUGGUGCCAGCAGCCGCGGUAAUUCCAGCUCCAAUAGCGUAUAUUAAAGUUGUUGCGGUUAAAAAGCUCGUAGUUGAAUUUGUGUCCCGCGCUGUCGGUUCACCGCCCGCGGUGUUUAACUGGCACGAUCGCGGGACGUCCUGCCGGUGGAUGUUUGUGUGUGGCUGGGUUCUCAUGUGUGUGUGUUGUUACAGUGCCUUCGUGGUGUUGUUUCGCGCACCGUGUGGGGCUCGCAUGUCACCGCACAUCCGACUCAAAAAUCCUGUCGCGGUGCUCUUAAUUGAGUGUCGAGGCGGGCCGGCACGUUUACUUUGAACAAAUUAGAGUGCUUAAAGCAGGCUAAAAUUUUGCCUGAAUAUUGUGUGCAUGGAAUAAUGAAACAGGACCUCGGUUCUAUUUUGUUGGUUUUCGGAACCACCGAGGUAAUGAUUAAUAGGGACAGAUGGGGGCAUUCGUAUUGCGACGUUAGAGGUGAAAUUCUUGGAUUGUCGCAAGACGGACAGAAGCGAAAGCAUUUGCCAAAAAUGUUUUCAUUAAUCAAGAACGAAAGUCAGAGGUUCGAAGGCGAUCAGAUACCGCCCUAGUUCUGACCAUAAACGAUGCCAGCUAGCGAUCCGUCGAUGUUCCUCCGAUGACUCGACGGGCAGCUUCCGGGAAACCAAAGCUUUUGGGUUCCGGGGGAAGUAUGGUUGCAAAGCUGAAACUUAAAGGAAUUGACGGAAGGGCACCACCAGGAGUGGAGCCUGCGGCUUAAUUUGACUCAACACGGGAAACCUCACCAGGCCCGGACACCGGAAGGAUUGACAGAUUGAGAGCUCUUUCUUGAUUCGGUGGGUGGUGGUGCAUGGCCGUUCUUAGUUGGUGGAGCGAUUUGUCUGGUUAAUUCCGAUAACGAACGAGACUCUGGCCUGCUAACUAGGCGUAACUUACCGGUAUCUUGAAGGCUUGCGUCUCUCGUUCUCUGUCCGUGAGUGUGUGUGUGCGUUGGGUGUGGCGUUUGGGUGUACCGUGCGUUUUGGCGUUUGGUCACACUCUCGUUCAUUCGCGUAUAUACAUUACUACGGGCAAGGCGGGAGUUCGUGGUUUUUACUACCGGCGUACAAUUGUAUCUUCUUAGAGGGACAGGCGGCUCCUAGCCGCACGAGAAUGAGCAAUAACAGGUCUGUGAUGCCCUUAGAUGUUCUGGGCCGCACGCGCGCUACACUGAAGGAAUCAGCGUGUCCUCCCUGGCCGAACGGCCCGGGUAACCCGCUGAAACUCCUUCGUGCUAGGGAUUGGGGCUUGCAAUUGUUCCCCAUGAACGAGGAAUUCCCAGUAAGCGCGAGUCAUAAGCUCGCGUUGAAUACGUCCCUGCCCUUUGUACACACCGCCCGUCGCUACUACCGAUUGAAUGAUUUAGUGAGGUCUUUGGACUGGCACGCGGCAGCGUUUCCACAUUGCCGAUGUCGCCGGGAAGAUGACCAAACUUGAUCAUUUAGAAGAAGUAAAAGUCGUAACAAGGU